rnacentral:tRNA from 1 species
GCCUGGGUGGCUCAGUCGGUUGAGCAACUGACUUCGGCUCGGUCAUGAUUUCACAGUUUGUGAGUUCAAGCCCCACGUCAGGCU